rnacentral:tRNA from 1 species
GGGCAGGUGGCGGAAUUGGAAGACGCGCAAGGUUCAGGACCUUGUGGCUAAAAGCCGUGAGGGUUCGAAUCCCUCCCUGCCCA